AUUGAACGCUGGCGGCAGGCCUAACACAUGCAAGUCGAGCGAGCGGCGGACGGGUGAGUAAUGUCUGGGAAACUGCCUGAUGGAGGGGGAUAACUACUGGAAACGGUGGCUAAUACCGCAUACCAUCAGAUGUGCCCAUAUGGGAUUAGCUAGUAGGUGGGGUAAUGGCUCACCUAGGCGACGAUCCCUAGCUGGUCUGAGAGGAUGACCAGCCACACUGGAACUGAGACACGGUCCAGACUCCUACGGGAGGCAGCAGUGGGGAAUAUUGCACAAUGGACGCAAGCCUGAUGCAGCCAUGCCGCGUGUGUGAAGAAGGCCUUCGGGUUGUAAAGCACUGUUAUCGAAGAGGCGGUACUCGCAGAAGAAGCCCCGGCUAACUCCGUGCCAGCAGCCGCGGUAAUAC
rnacentral:rRNA from 1 species